rnacentral:sRNA from 1 species
GCUGGGCAUGGUGGCACAAGCCUGUAAUCCUAGUGGUUUGGGAGGCUGAGAUGGGAGGAUCACAAGUUCAAAGCCAACCUCAGCAAAAAGCGAGGCCCUAAGCAAUUCAGUGAGACCCUGUCUCUA